GGCGAGUGUGGUGAAGUGGUUAACACACCAGAUUGUGGCUCUGGCAUGCGUGGGUUCGAUCCCCAUCACUCGCCU
rnacentral:tRNA from 2 species